CUGUGUUGCUUGACGGACACCGACCACAGUGUCAUCAAUUCCAAUCGCUUCACUAUUACUGGAAGGGGAGGAGCUAUCACCUCCUCUGGCAUUCCUUGUGCACGAUCAUUGUUGAUUCGGCAUCUAGCGCAUCGCAACGAUUGUCUAGGGAAAGGCAUCAGAACAGCUCCUAGAUGGAAUUCCUCCGGGCAGAUCACUGUCCUUUGCGUUCUUGCGGUCGAGUAAGGCUUCGGUUGAAGAUUUGGGGGAUGUUUGAGGACUUGGAUUUGGGAUGAGCGUCUCGACGUGGGAUUACGUGUCGUGAUAUACAUUUAAGGCG